rnacentral:rRNA from 1 species
CGGGGCGGGGGUGCUAAUACAUGCAGUCGAGCGAUGAUUAAAGAUAGCUUGCUAUUUUUAUGAAGAGCGGCGAACGGGUGAGUAACGCGUGGGAAAUCUGCCGAGUAGCGGGGGACAACGUUUGGAAACGAACGCUAAUACCGCAUAACAAUGAGAAUCGCAUGAUUCUUAUUUAAAAGAAGCAAUUGCUUCACUACUUGAUGAUCCCGCGUUGUAUUAGCUAGUUGGUAGUGUAAAGGACUACCAAGGCGAUGAUACAUAGCCGACCUGAGAGGGUGAUCGGCCACACUGGGACUGAGACACGGCCCAGACUCCUACGGGAGGCAGCAGUAGGGAAUCUUCGGCAAUGGGGGCAACCCUGACCGAGCAACGCCGCGUGAGUGAAGAAGGUUUUCGGAUCGUAAAACUCUGUUGUUAGAGAAGAACGUUAAGUAGAGUGGAAAAUUACUUAAGUGACGGUAUCUAACCAGAAAGGGACGGCUAACUACGUGCCAGCAGCCGCGGUAAUACGUAGGUCCCAAGCGUUGUCCGGAUUUAUUGGGCGUAAAGCGAGCGCAGGUGGUUUCUUAAGUCUGAUGUAAAAGGCAGUGGCUCAACCAUUGUGUGCAUUGGAAACUGGGAGACUUGAGUGCAGGAGAGGAGAGUGGAAUUCCAUGUGUAGCGGUGAAAUGCGUAGAUAUAUGGAGGAACACCGGAGGCGAAAGCGGCUCUCUGGCCUGUAACUGACACUGAGGCUCGAAAGCGUGGGGAGCAAACAGGAUUAGAUACCCUGGUAGUCCACGCCGUAAACGAUGAGUGCUAGCUGUAGGGAGCUAUAAGUUCUCUGUAGCGCAGCUAACGCAUUAAGCACUCCGCCUGGGGAGUACGACCGCAAGGUUGAAACUCAAAGGAAUUGACGGGGGCCCGCACAAGCGGUGGAGCAUGUGGUUUAAUUCGAAGGCAACGCGAAGAACCCUUACCAGGGUCUUGACAUACUCGUGCUAUCCUUAGAGAUAAAGGAGUUUCCUUCGGGACACGGGAUACAGGUGGUGCAUGGUUUGUCGUCAGCUCGUGUCGUGAGAUGUUGGGUUAAGUCCCCGCAACGGAGCGCAACCC